rnacentral:tRNA from 1 species
AAGAAAUUAGUUAAAGCCUAUAACCUCAACUAGUCAAGUUAAAAUUAUUUUUAAAAAUAUUUCUUA